CCUACGGGGGGCAGCAGUGAGGAAUAUUGGUCAAUGGGCGGAAGCCUGAACCAGCCAAGUAGCGUGCAGGAUGACGGCCCUACGGGUUGUAAACUGCUUUUAUACGGGAAUAACGCGCCUUACGUGUAGGGCUUUGCAUGUACCGUAUGAAUAAGGACCGGCUAAUUCCGUGCCAGCAGCCGCGGUAAUACGGAAGGUCCGGGCGUUAUCCGGAUUUAUUGGGUUUAAAGGGAGCGUAGGCCGCAUGUCAAGCGUGCUGUGAAAUGUCCGGGCUCAACCCGGGCCUUGCAGCGCGAACUGGCGGGCUUGAGUCCGCGGAAAGCAGGCGGAAUUCGUCGUGUAGCGGUGAAAUGCUUAGAUAUGACGAAGAACCCCGAUUGCGAAGGCAGCAUGCCGGCUCCACACUGACGCUGAGGCACGAAAGCGUGGGUAUCGAACAGGAUUAGAUACCCCAGUAGUC
rnacentral:rRNA from 1 species